UAUUAUGUAAAUAUAUUUAACAUAUAAACAUUUUUUUCUUAAAUAUACAUGCAUGUGUGUGUAUUUAUAUAUGUAUAAUUAAUAUACACAGUACACACAUAUAUAUUAUGUUAAGCAAAAACGUUCAUUUUGGAUGCGAUUAAUCACGAUUAAUCGUUUGACAGCACUAAUAUAAACUAACCUAACAUAUAACUGGAAACAACAUAACCUAUAACAUAAUACCUAAGCUAACCUCAGUUAUGAUUUGGGGCCUCUUGUUGUAGACUUUGGCUUAAUUAACAUGACUGAAUAUAAUAUCUAAACAAUGACCUGAGUCUCUCUGACCAUGCUGGCAGCGAGUCCUUUGAAGACAUAUUUUAGUUAACUUCUAAAUUACUUCAACAGAUGGGUUUACAGCUGAGACGCUCGUUUCACACACACUUACACACAAAUCCACAGUGUUGGCUUUACCAGAUAUUCUCAACAAACCCAUUACAUCAAAAAUUUAGUAUGCGUAAAACGAUUUCCCUUCAUUUUAUGUCAAAUGGAUACACCCCCACAGACAAACAGAGUGCGCAACACUUUGAAAAAAGUAAACUUUAAACCACAUCAGCUAUUAGUUUGUUCCUAAUAGCAUAAACAGUCUUCAGCUAACAUUUGUGCAUUUUGGGUAAAAAGUUUUUUUUAAGUAGAGAGUACCUGUGGCCCUCGUAACUGCUCUUUAAUAUACACCACCACAGUUUUUUCCCCUGCAUCUCCAGCCAGAGUUUACAAACCAUUUACUCACUGGCUGUAAAAAAGAAAAACAUCCCUUUUGAUGUGGGAUAAAUUCAUAGCCAAGACGAGCCCUAUUUAUGUCUUUUUUUUUUUACUUGAAGAAGGCAAAGAAUGUCAACAACAUGCUGAUGGGACUGCAGAUGCUUUCAUGUUCUGAGAAAACCAUGUUGUUUGGUAGAGAUCAACUACAAACAUACAGAGUUUUAGGUGUUAACAAGGAAAAAAGCGUGUAUUGUGCUUUUCUUGGAUUAAGUAAACUACACUAGAGUCUAUUAAAAUAAUUUAUUUAUUUAGAAGACACAUGCAUCUAGUGACUUACAAAUGGGGAAAACACAAUCAAUUUGUAGUUUAAGCUAAUAAUAAAGUAACAUAUUCAUGGAAAAAUAUGUCUAUUAAGCCUUUACUGAGCACUUUUUUUUGGCUUGUAUCAAUGCUAAAUAAAGCUUAAUCUUGUCCAUAGCAAACAAAGACUUUAUUGUGUACUGUAAUCUAAGAAUAAGCUAAUAUUUAACAAAUAUUCAAGCGGAACACUUUAAACUGUAACUAAUAAAUCCUGUGUGCUGUAUAUUGACUGAAGCAGUGAUAUUGACUUUAAGCUGAAAACUGCCCUGGUUUCACUCAACACUAAGCAAUAGAGAAACCACAAGAAUCUGUGUAAAUGCACUAAACUCCCUAUAUUAAAUCCAGUGUUUUUACAAGUGGGGUUACUUUAGAUAGCUGUGUCUUGUUUUUUACACUUCACUUCCAAUCAUAACCAAUUUCCAUCUUAACUUGAGUUUGGAUUUUAGUAAAUUUACCUAGCAGAAUUAACCUAGCAAUGAUAAUAAGGAAUAGUGGGAGUUACGUCAUGCAAGUCCAGUUUUACAAACCAACAUGUAAACAUUUGUUUAAAACAAGUAAAGCUAUUUUAUACAGUAUGUUUUCCCCAGCAAACCAUAAUGUAAACUCUGAAGAAUCUUAUAAACAAAGUAGGAAGAAUUGCUUGUUGUAGUCCUCAUUUUUUUAAGUCAAUUUGGAUAAAACUCUCUGAAAAAUGAAUAAAUGUAAAAUUCUGUUUCAUAUUGAGUAGACCGCUUUGUAAUUAUACAUUCUUUUUAGGAAAGCCAUUAUGAAAUGUAUAAGAUCCUCUUUUCAGUAUUUCCUGUAUUUUCAAAUUAAAUGCUCUGUUCAGUUAAAAAGUUCACGAUGCAUUUAUUCUGUUUAAUUCCAAAAACCUCCAUGGCACUGACAUCUUUGUUAAAUUUGCAUAGUAAGUUUUGAUUGGUUUUCCUUUGUGCAUUUAUUUACACACUGAAUGUGACUGAUCUUUUCAUUCAUGCAUCUAUUUUAACAGUCUAUGGUCCUGUCCACAUGAACGCAGGUAUUUUCAAAACCGCAGCUUUUUCUAUGCGGUUUGGCCGUUCGUCCACACGCAAAUGCAACACCAGGUCAUUGAAACCAAACAUUUUUGAAAACUCCUGUCAGAUUUUCAAAAACUCUGGUUGCAGUGUUAUCGUGUAGACAGAGAAACAGGAGUUUCUGGCUUGUGACGUAGGAGCGUGCGCUGUUAUCGCCACCUACUGGAAACUUUUCAGGCUUCUGAUUGGCCAACAUGGCUUUACAGUUGAGAUUAUAUCGCCACCUGUUGGCUUGGCAUGCUCUUGACAGUGCUUCAUAGCAUGCUUUUGCGUUUUCAUGUGGACAGCGAUUUUUUUUAUAAACUCUGUUUAUAAAAAUACCUGUGUAUGUGUGGACAUGGCCUAUAUCUGCUUUAAAACAAAAUACAAGCUUUCCUAAAACUUUAAACACAACAUGUGAUUUCUGUGCCACUAUGACCAAAUAUCUUCUAUAGUAACAUCAUCUUCAGAAAGAUAUUUUUGCCCAAACUAAAUAAAUGUCAGCGUAAAUGAUGAACUGAACUAUUGUGGCACAAAACAUCAGACUGUAGCAGUCACCAACAGAUUUUCUUCCACUAACAUAUCAAAACUAACAGGAAAAACCCACUUUCUCCAUCAAAAUAAAACCAAUUUUUCCAAGUAUCCCAUGUUGACCUGUCUUUCUUCAUGGCAGUUAAACCUCAAAGCCAAGCGGCUGUGGGGCACGUACGACACGUGCUGCGGAAAAUGUGGGAAUUGUGGGAAUCCUAUGGAUGAUGUCACCCGUCUGGGUCGUGGCCUCCUCAAAAUUCCUUUAGUGCCAACACACUAGCCCUUUUCUAUGUGCCCGGGCCACACCCACUCAACACACAUGUUGGUUUAAUAAGGUAAUGUCUGAGGAAUGUCUUUAAAGCAGGAUGGAACAGACAGCCUCUUUCAUUAGUGCAAAGACAUGGGAUAGCUGGAAAAAGUAAAAAUAGGUCUACAAUAAUCCAGCUACUGUAUGCUACCGCUGAAUGGAAGUCUGUGUACGUGGGGUUUGGUUUUCAAAUGGUUUCUUUGGUCGUACCUUGUUUAGAUGAGGUGUUCGGCUGUAGCUGAUCUGUUUGUACACAAUAAGAGGGGAAAUUAAAAGAUUAGAAAUUAGAUUAAAGGUCCGGACUAAACUGUUAACCUUUCUCUUUCGUAAACAACAAUUCUGUUGUGUCUAAAAGAAAACCCUCAGACAAUAACAUUGUGUACUCCUUGAAACGCACCUGUCUAAUGACUUUUUCAUUUAAAUUUGUGUGGUUUUUCUUGGUAGCACUAGCUUUAUUAGCAGUACGCUGGAUAAGAGAUUAUAACACCUCUCCGCAAAAAAAAAAGUCACAUUAACGGCAUACAAGAAGAGUUUAUUUGCAAAAACAGAUAACUCCGUUUUCUAAAAUUUUCAAAAAUCAUGUUUUUUUAUUAUGCCAUCAUGUUUGUGAUUUAUUGUGUUAGCUGUAUUUUUAAGUUAUUUUUUAACCUAAUCAAAAUAACCCAACUGUAGUUUGAUUGAGACUAAUUGGAAUGCACAAUGAAAAAACAUGAUUUUUGAAGUUUUUACACAGUUUUUAUUGACAUUUAUAAAAUAUUGCAAAAGGCUUACCUUUCCCCAACCCAUCCCACCAUUUCCUUUCACUUCCCCAUUUCUAGGAAACCCAUUAAAGGCUUAAAAAGCCUAUAAAAAUAGUAACAGGUCUAUAACUCAUGGCAGGCCGUUUUUCGAAAUCUUCCAACCUUCCCUUGCCUCCUGCAUCAGGGAGAGACAGUUUUAUUUUACGGUUUUAUGUAAAACUUGAGUUGAAAUCCUCUCGAAACGUCAUCCAGCUUUCACAUGUGUUUAACUCCACAACUAUUCGGCCCAAACAUUUGAUAAAUGCACACAGUUAAUAGUCUUCAACAUCUUCUGUUCCAGCACCUCGUCUUUCAUGCCACUCCGUGAGAUCUUUUGGCCCAGAGCGGAGGGGUGAGUCAGCCCUCCCUCCUCAUCCUCCACAUUCCUGCGGAGUUCUUGGCCUGAGAGAGGGCAGCCCCCUCGGCUCAUCGCUCCCAGACUCACGCUGGCCUCCUAAUGACCAGACUCCCCGCCGAGGAGAGCAACAUUUGAUCAAAAAACAAUCUAAUUUAUCUCUUGGUUAAAUAUGAGCCUGAUGUGAACUUACAUUCACCCCCCUUCAU
rnacentral:lncRNA from 1 species